GAGUUUGAUCAUGGCUCAGAUUGAACGCUGGCGGUAUGCUUAACACAUGCAAGUCGAACGGUAGCAGGCCUUCGGGCGCUGACGAGUGGCGGACGGGUGAGUAACGCGUAGGAAUCUGCCUCAUAGUGGGGGACAACGUGGGGAAACUCACGCUAAUACCGCAUACGCCCUACGGGGGAAAGCGGGGGACCUUCGGGCCUCGCGCUAUGAGAUGAGCCUGCGUUAGAUUAGCUAGUUGGUAGGGUAAAGGCCUACCAAGGCGACGAUCUAUAGCUGGUCUGAGAGGACGAUCAGCCACACUGGGACUGAGACACGGCCCAGACUCCUACGGGAGGCAGCAGUGGGGAAUAUUGGACAAUGGGCGCAAGCCUGAUCCAGCAAUACCGCGUGUGUGAAGAAGGCCCUAGGGUUGUAAAGCACUUUCAAUGGGGAGGAAAACAGUCAGAUUAAUACCCUGGCUCUUGACAUUACCUUUAGAAGAAGCACCGGCUAACUCCGUGCCAGCAGCCGCGGUAAUACGGAGGGUGCGAGCGUUAAUCGGAAUUACUGGGCGUAAAGCGUGCGUAGGCGGUUCGUUAGGUCAGAUGUGAAAGCCCCGGGCUUAACCUGGGAACUGCAUUUGAAACUGGCGAACUAGAGUUUAAUAGAGGGGAGUGGAAUUUCAGGUGUAGCGGUGAAAUGC
rnacentral:rRNA from 1 species